UCAAACUUGGUCAUUUAGAGGAAGUAAAAGUCGUAACAAGGUUUCCGUAGGUGAACCUGCGGAAGGAUCAUUAUUGAAUAAAGUUGGUUAGAUUGUAUGCUGGCUUUUUAAGAAGCAUGUGCACAUCUAAUCUAUUUUUAAUCCCCUGUGCAUCUUGUGUAGGCCUGUAUAUAUAACCUUUCGAGCUGGGACACAGCUCGGUUUAGAAACUGCUGUAUUCUGACACAGAUAAGCCAGCUAUUUCUUGAGUUUUCAGGUCUAUGUCUUAUAACACCCCAUUAAACUGUAUUGAAUUAUAUUAAAAAAAUAAUACAACUUUCAACAACGGAUCUCUUGGCUCUCGCAUCGAUGAAGAACGCAGC
rnacentral:misc_RNA from 1 species